GACGUAGGGUCCAAGCGUUGUCCGGAAUCACUGGGCGUAAAGGGCGCGUAGGCGGACAAGUAAGUCGGGCGUGAAAUCCCUAGGCUCAACCUAGGAACUGCACUCGAAACUGCAUGUCUUGAGUACCGGAGAGGAAAGCGGAAUACCUGGUGUAGAGGUGAAAUUCGUAGAUAUCAGGUGGAACACCAGUGGCGAAGGCGGCUUUCUGGACGGUAACUGACGCUGAGGCGCGAAAGCGUGGGGAGCAAACAGG
rnacentral:rRNA from 1 species